rnacentral:rRNA from 1 species
GCUAAGAAUCUUCCGCAAUGGGCGCAAGCCUGACGGAGCGACGCCGCGUGGACGAUGAAGGCCGUAAGGUUGUAAAGUCCUUUUCUCUGUGAGGAAUGAGUGUGGGAGUGGAAAGCCCACAUGAUGACGGUAACGGAGGAAUAAGCACCGGCUAACUACGUGCCAGCAGCCGCGGUAAUACGUAGGGUGCGAGCGUUGUUCGGAGUUAUUGGGCGUAAAGGGCGUGUAGGCGGCUUGAGAAGUCUGGUUUGAAAUGCACUGGCUCAACUGGUGCGCUGGGUCAGAAACUGGCAGGCUUGAGUUCAUGGGGAGGAGCUGGAAUUCCAGGUGUAGGGGUGAAAUCUGUAGAGAUCUGGAAGAACACCGGUAGCGAAGGCGGGCUCCUAUGGAUGGACUGACGCUGAGGCGCGAAAGCGUGGGGAGCAAACAGGAUUAGAAACCCGGGUAGUCC